UACGUAGGGUGCAAGCGUUAAUCGGAAUUACUGGGCGUAAAGCGUGCGCAGGCGGCUUUGCAAGACAGAUGUGAAAUCCCCGGGCUUAACCUGGGAACUGCAUUUGUGACUGCAUGGCUGGAGUGCGGCAGAGGGGGAUGGAAUUCCGCGUGUAGCAGUGAAAUGCGUAGAUAUGCGGAGGAACACCGAUGGCGAAGGCAAUCCCCUGGGCCUGCACUGACGAUCAUGCACGAAAGCGUGGGGAGCAAACAGG
rnacentral:rRNA from 1 species